AUGUCCUGUAUAAAUUCCAAUUUUAUGAAUAAUGUUUUUACACACUUUCAGGCUGGUUAUGACACAGUAAGCUCCACACACUACUUUGUGAUUCCUGGAUCAAACAAUGGGAGCUCCAUCUCAAACCUCAGGAACUCCAGUAAUGUUAAUGUUCCUGGUCGAUGGGCCUUCAGGGUGGACGGUGGAUCAAAGUCAAACAAGGAGUACAUCACUGGACUUCAAGCAAAACUUUCCUCAUUUUCUGACCUAACAGAUACUGGAAACAUUCAGAUUGUUUUGCAGCAAGUAAGACACAAACAUGACUAUUCAUACAGAAUGCGGUGCUAAUAUACAACAUGGAGAAAAUCUGAUCUGUUUGUCCAUCUGUGUUUCAGAUAAAACAGGAGCUGGUCAAGUACGGUCUGCCAAACAGCAUAGAGCUGACGUUAAGAAAUGUGCAAAAGAUAAAGCCGUAAUAUCAGUCUGCUUCAGGAAAAGAAAUAAAACCGUUCUGUUCACUUAGUGCCUGACA
ensembl:lncRNA